GUGGGGAAUAUUGGACAAUGGGCGAAAGCCUGAUCCAGCCAUGCCGCGUGUGUGAAGAAGGUCUUCGGAUUGUAAAGCACUUUAAGUUGGGAGGAAGGGCAGUAAGUUAAUACCUUGCUGUUUUGACGUUACCGACAGAAUAAGCACCGGCUAACUCUGUGCCAGCAGCCGCGGUAAUACAGAGGGUGCAAGCGUUAAUCGGAAUUACUGGGCGUAAAGCGCGCGUAGGUGGUUUUGUAAGUUGGAGGUGAAAUCCCCGGGCUCAACCUGGGAACUGCCUCCAAAACUGCAUGACUAGAGUACGGUAGAGGGUAGUGGAAUUUCCUGUGUAGCGGUGAAAUGCGUAGAUAUAGGAAGGAACACCAGUGGCGAAGGCGACUACCUGGACUGAUACUGACACUGAGGUGCGAAAGCGUGGGGAGCAAACAGGAUUAGAUACCCCAGUAGUCC
rnacentral:rRNA from 1 species